AUAAUUAUAGCCUAGUGGUCAUGGCAUCUGCCCGGUAAGCGGAAGGUCGUGGGUUCGAUUCCCAUCCCAUGACACUUUUUUUAUU
rnacentral:tRNA from 1 species